GACGAACGCUGGCGGCGUGCUUAACACAUGCAAGUCGAACGAUGAAGCCGGAGCUUGCUCCGGUGGAUUAGUGGCGAACGGGUGAGUAACACGUGAGCAAUCUGCCCUUGACUCUGGGAUAACUGCGGGAAACUGUAGCUAAUACCGGAUACGACACCUUGGGGCAUCCCAGGGUGUGGAAAGAAUUUCGGUCAAGGAUGAGCUCGCGGCCUAUCAGCUAGUUGGUGAGGUAAUGGCUCACCAAGGCGACGACGGGUAGCCGGCCUGAGAGGGUGACCGGCCACACUGGAACUGAGGCACGGGCCAGACUCCUACGGGAGGCAGCAGUGGGGAAUAUUGCACAAUGGGCGAAAGCCUGAUGCAGCAACGCCGCGUGUGGGAUGAAGGCAUUCGGGUUGUAAACCUCUUUUAGCAGGGAAGAAGCGAAAGUGACGGUACCUGCAGAAAAAGCACCGGCUAACUACGUGCCAGCCGCCGCGGUAA
rnacentral:rRNA from 1 species